rnacentral:rRNA from 1 species
GUCCACGCUGUAAACGAUGUGUGCUAGACGUUGGGGGUUGCCCUCCGGUGUCGCAGCUAACGCUUUAAGCACACCGCCUGGGGAGUACGGUCGCAAGAUUAAAACUCAAAGGAAUUGACGGGGCCCGCACAAGCGGUGGAGCAUGUGGUUUAAUUCGACGCAACGCGAAGAACCUUACCAGCUCUUGACAUGGGUAGUAUGGACCUGGGCGACUGGAUCCUUCAGUUCGGCUGGCUACCACACAGGUGCUGCAUGGCUGUCGU